rnacentral:rRNA from 1 species
UACGUAGGUGGCAAGCGUUGUCCGGAAUUAUUGGGCGUAAAGCGCGCGCAGGCGGUUCCUUAAGUCUGAUGUGAAAGCCCCCGGCUCAACCGGGGGAGGGUCAUUGGAAACUGGGGAACUUGAGUGCAGAAGAGAAGAGCGGAAUUCCACGUGUAGCGGUGAAAUGCGUAGAGAUGUGGAGGAACACCAGUGGCGAAGGCGGCUCUUUGGUCUGUAACUGACGCUGAGGCGCGAAAGCGUGGGGAGCGAACAGG